AACGAACGCUGGCGGCAUGCCUAACACAUGCAAGUCGAACGAGACCUUCGGGUCUUGUGGCGCAUGGGUGUGUAACGCGUGGGAACCUGCACUUAGGUUCGGAAUAACUCCCCGAAAGGGGUGCUAAUACCGGAUAAUGUCCUCGGCCCAAAGAUUUUUCGCCUUUGGUUGGGCCCGCGUUGGAUUAGCUAGUUGGUAGGGUAAAAGCUUACCAAGGCGUCGAUCAAUAGCUGGUCUGAGAGGAUGAUCAGCCACACUGGGACUCAGACACGGCCCGGACUCUUACGGGAGGCAGCAGUGGGUAAUAUUGGACAAUGGGCGAAGUCCUGAUCCAGCAAUGCCGCGUGAGUGAUGAAGGCCUUAGGGUUGUAAAGCUCUUUUACCCGUGAUGAUAAUGACAGUACCGGAAGAAUAAGCUCCGGCUAACUCCGUG
rnacentral:rRNA from 1 species